AUGCAACUUUCUACCGCACUACUCUUCAUUCUCACUGAAAUCUCCAUAACCGUAACCUUCAUCUUUAUCCUCUUCAACAACUUCGCAUCACGAUUUUACUCUAAUCAUCCGCAACUUCUGCAUACUUCCUCAACAACCUGCAACAUCAUCAUUGCAAGAACUGCUUUAUCAACGCAUCAUAAUUUGUGA